AGUGAACGCUGGCGGUAGGCCUAACACAUGCAAGUCGAACGGCAGCACAGUAAGAGCUUGCUCUUACGGGUGGCGAGUGGCGGACGGGUGAGGAAUACAUCGGAAUCUACUUUUUCGUGGGGGAUAACGUAGGGAAACUUACGCUAAUACCGCAUACGACCUACGGGUGAAAGCAGGGGAUCUUCGGACCUUGCGCGAUUGAAUGAGCCGAUGUCGGAUUAGCCAGUUGGCGGGGUAAAGGCCCACCAAGGCGACGAUCCGUAGCUGGUCUGAGAGGAUGAUCAGCCACACUGGAACUGAGACACGGUCCAGACUCCUACGGGAGGCAGCAGUGGGGAAUAUUGGACAAUGGGCGCAAGCCUGAUCCAGCCAUACCGCGUGGGUGAAGAAGGCCCUCGGGUUGUAAAGCCCUUUUGUUGGGAAAGAAAAGCAGCAGGUUAAUACCCCGCUGUUCUGACGGUACCCAAAGAAUAAGCACCGGCUAACUUCGUG
rnacentral:rRNA from 1 species